UUUGAAUUUCUUGACGUUUUUUAGAUGUCAAGUAAGAUCGUUUUUCUUGACGUUUUAAAAACGUCAAGUGUUAUUAAAUAUAUAAAAGAAAAUAUUGGGUUAAAUCCUUUGAAGCCAUAGAAUUGUCUCUGCCCCAUUCGAAAAUAUCAAGCUCUCUUGGAGAAUCUCUCACUUCUGCCGUGUUCACCGCCCGUUCGUCCGUCCGUCCGCGUUUACCCCGCCCUCUCCAAAAAUGUGUACUAGAUCCUUCACUUUCGGUCGUUCACUAUCCACUGAGUACGAGAUCCCUAAGACUCCCGUCGUCCGCCAUCCCUGAUACUCUGAAAUCGUCGUUCAUCGUCCCUCAAAAUUGUCGUGCUUCUCUACGAAAACGUCAUCCUUCUUUCGAGUCUUCAUCCCCUUUAUGUCGUCUUCCUGUAUUUAGAGGUUAUACUUCAUUUCCUUAAAACUUCCAUUGGUGUUCAUAUUUCAAGGAUUUGAAAUUUUUAUAGGACAUUGCUAGUGGAAAUUAAGUCAAUUCUGUUUGCUUCCAAGCUACCUCCUGAUUAUGCUGUCUGGUUGGGAGAAAUAAAUCAUUUGUCAUAUUUCAAGAUAGUGUAUGGUAACCAACACUUAGUGCAUUUUCGUGUUUAUGAGCUUAUUUUAUUAAUAUGUUUUUUAGGAAAAAUAUGAGGUCAAUAUAGCAUAUUAUAUCGAUGAAAUUGUAGCCGUUUAGCACAAACUGUAUACCCAGAAUUUGAGAAACCGUUACUAUUCCUCUUAGAUGGGUUAAAUACUGAUUGCAACAAUUAUGUAGUACCAACCAAAUUUUGAGGUUCUUUUUUCACUAAUUAUGCUUUAUCUAAUAUAUUUUUUCAAAUCUUAAAGUAGAACUUUUUGGUUUCAUUGGAGUUUAUUGUUAGAGCUGGCAUUACUAUAUUGGCUGCCUCUCAGUGGGCUAUGGGUUUUCCAAUGGUCAUUUGUUAUGCUUAUAUUUAUGUGUUUUUGCUUUUAGAAAGUAGGAGGUGUUUGACUGUGUUUUCUACUUUUUCGUUCAGGAAAUCAAUACAUUUGUAACUGAUUUGAAUAGCUUGCAUCCUAUUUUGACUGAAUGUCGUGUCUUGAAUCAGAACUGGAGCUUGCUCUUAUUCAAUUUACCGAUGAUAUUAGCUCGUGAACUCAUGUUUAGGAAACAAUUAGCUCGAAGGCCUUUACUGAAAGGUUGGUUUUGGACUGGGGAUGAAGUUGUUCAACUUGUUUGAUAUUUACUUUAUGUUGUUCCAUUCUAAGUAAAGUUGUAAAUUUCUUCACAUUAUGCUUCUAUUGGAACCAAAGUACAAGAAAUUAUUUUACAUUACGUGUUUUGAAAAAAAUUCAAAUCCUUCAUUUUGAAAUCUUGAAAAAAUCAACCAUUUUAGUUUGAAAUAUUUGUAGCAAACUUUGAAACUAAUUGGCAGGAGUGGUUCAAAAGAAGAGAUUAAAAGCUUGGAAGAAAAAAAAGUAGUGGAACUGAACUUCAAUUUAAUCUUGGUGGUUUCUUUGGCGAGAAGUACCUAUGCUAGUAUGUUGCAAUGAAGUAGUUGUUCUGUUGACAAGAUUAGACAACACUUCGAGGAAAAUUAAAUGUUUGUCAUUUCCUGAGAAGUGAAUUAGACGGGUUGAGCAUUCUGAAGAGAUAAGUUUGACAUCUCAAGAAAAAUGUCUAAUCGUGAAGUGAUAGUUGGCUUACGUGUCGAGCUUGGAUUGGUUGCAUAGUGUGGCAAAGCGGUAAAGUGACACAUGUAAAGCGUGAAAACGACCCAUGCAUGUAAAAGGUCGCUAUAAAGAGAACACAAAGGCCGGAAGAAAGGGCAUGAAACGCUAGUCACUCUAAAAAUUGUUAGAAGAAAGGUUUUGAGUUGUUGAAGAGGUCAAUUGAAGGAAUCACUAUGUGGGAAGAGAAAGCCAAAAGCAAAAAGAGAGAAAGAGCUAAGGCUGGCUAAGUGUUUUUGGCGCUAGUGGAAAUUCCAAGUUUAAUGAAUGACAUUGUUGAAGUGAACCCCAAGUCUCUAGGCAGAUGUAUGCUAGUAAAGUGAAUCCCAGAUCUAAGCGUGGAAUGAAUUUGUGAGAUGCCAAUAAAAGUGAAUACUAGGUCUAUCGUAAGGCGCUAGUAAGGUAAUUAAAUCCCAAGUUCAGGUGAUGUGAUGCUCGUGAAAGCGAAUAGCAGGUUUGAGAUGAGAUAGAAUGUUGCAAGACGCUAGUAGAAAUCCUAAAUCUAUCGCAAGACACUGAGGGAAAUCACAGGUUUAACGCUUGGCACUGGUGAAGUGAGUCCCAGGUCUAGGUAGGUAAAUCCUUGUGAAUGAAUUCGAAGUCUAGGUGAUUAGAUGUGGAUGGGAGAAUCCUAGGUCUCAGUGAUGAAUGGUGAAUGUUUGAUGAUUUGAAACGCGUAGAAUUGUUUGUGAUCGCUGUGUUUGUAAAUGGUAUUGAGAAUUUAUGUUGAUGCAAUUAAAACUUGUGUUCAUGA